GACGAACGCUGGCGGCGUGCCUAAUACAUGCAAGUAGAACGCUGAAGGAGGAGCUUGCUUCUCUGGAUGAGUUGCGAACGGGUGAGUAACGCGUAGGUAACCUGCCUGGUAGCGGGGGAUAACUAUUGGAAACGAUAGCUAAUACCGCAUAAUAGCAGUUGUUGCAUGAUAACUGUUUGAAAGGUGCAAUUGCACCACUACCAGAUGGACCUGCGUUGUAUUAGCUAGUUGGCGGGGUAACGGCUCACCAAGGCGACGAUACAUAGCCGACCUGAGAGGGGGAUCGGCCACACUGGGACUGAGACACGGCCCAGACUCCUACGGGAGGCAGCAGGAGGGAAUCUUCGGCAAUGGACGGAAGUCUGACCGAGCAACGCCGCGUGAGUGAAGAAGGUUUUCGGAUCGUAAAGCUCUGUUGUAAGAGAAGAACGAGUGUGAGAGUGGAAAGUUCACAAUGUGACGGUAUCUUACCAGAAAGGGACGGCUAACUACGUG
rnacentral:rRNA from 1 species